UACGAAGGGGGCAAGCGUUACUCGGAAUUACUGGGCGUAAAGCGUGCGUAGGUGGUUUGUUAAGUCGGUUGUGAAAGCCCCGGGCUCAACCUGGGAAUGGCAAUGGAUACUGGCAGGCUAGAGUGCGGUAGAGGGUAGUGGAAUUCCCGGUGUAGCGGUGAAAUGCGUAGAGAUCGGGAGGAACACCAGUGGCGAAGGCGGCUACCUGGACCAGCACUGACACUGAGGCACGAAAGCGUGGGGAGCAAACAGG
rnacentral:rRNA from 1 species